rnacentral:rRNA from 1 species
GACGAACGCUGGCGGCGUGCUUAACACAUGCAAGUCGAACGAUGAACCCGGAGCUUGCUCCGGUGGAUUAGUGGCGAACGGGUGAGUAACACGUGAGUAACCUGCCCUUGACUCUGGGAUAACUGCGGGAAACUGUAGCUAAUACCGGAUACGACCCUCGGCGGCAUCGCCAGGGGGUGGAAAGAAUUUCGGUCAAGGAUGGACUCGCGGCCUAUCAGCUAGUUGGUGAGGUAACGGCUCACCAAGGCGACGACGGGUAGCCGGCCUGAGAGGGUGACCGGCCACAGUGGGACUGAGACACGGCCCAGACUCCUACGGGAGGCAGCAGUGGGGAAGUUUCCACAAUGGGCGAAAGCCUGAUGGAGCAACGCCGCGUGCAGGAUGAAUGCCUUCGGGUUGUAAACUGCUUUUAUCUGUGACGAAUAUGACGGUAGCAGACGAAUAAGGAUCGGCUAACUCCGUGCCAGCAGCCGCCGUAA